rnacentral:rRNA from 1 species
AGAAUCUUUCGCAAUGCCCGAAAGGGUGACGAAGCGACGCCGCGUGUGGGAAGAAGGCCUUCGGGUUGUAAACCACUGUCGGGAGUUAAGAAAUGUAAGGAUGUUAAUAGCGUCCUUACUUGACUAAGGCUCCGGAGGAAGCCACGGCUAACUCUGUGCCAGCAGCCGCGGUAAUACAGAGGCGGCAAGCGUUGUUCGGAAUUAUUGGGCGUAAAGAGCACGUAGGCGGCCUUGAAGGUCAGUUGUGAAAGCCUUCUGCUUAACGGAAGAACAGCAUCUGAUACUACAGGGCUUGAGUGCGGGAGGGGAGAGUGGAACUUCUGGUGGAGCGGUGAAAUGCGUAGAUAUCAGAAGGAACGCCGGCGGCGAAAGCGGCUCUCUGGCUCGUAACUGACGCUGAGUGUGCGAAAGCUAGGGGAUCAAACGGGAUUAGAUACCCCGGUAGUCCUAGCCGUAAACGAUGGGCACUAAGUAGAGGGGUUUUGAUUAUCUCUCUGCCGGAGCUAACGCAUUAAGUGCCCCGCCUGGGAAGUACGGCCGCAAGGCUAAAACUCAAAAGAAUUGACGGGGGCUCGCACAAGCGGUGGAGCAUGUGGCUUAAUUCGAUGCAACGCGAAGAACCUUACCGGGGUUUGACAUGGUAGAAGUAGGAACCAGAAACGGUAACGAACGGUAUCCAGUCCGUAACUAUCACAGGUGUUGCAUGGCUG